rnacentral:rRNA from 1 species
UACGAAGGGGGCUAGCGUUGUUCGGAAUCACUGGGCGUAAAGCGCACGUAGGCGGACUUUUAAGUCAGGGGUGAAAGCCUGAGGCUCAACCUCAGAAUUGCCCUUGAUACUGGGAGUCUUGAGUAUGGUAGAGGUCGGUGGAACAGCAAGUGUAGAGGUGAAAUUCGUAGAUAUUUGCUAGAACACCAGUGGCGAAGGCGGCCGACUGGACCAUAACUGACGCUGAGGUGCGAAAGCGUGGGGAGCAAACAGG